GACGAACGCUGGCGGCGUGCUUAACACAUGCAAGUCGAACGGAAAGGCCCUGCUUUUGUGGGGUGCUCGAGUGGCGAACGGGUGAGUAACACGUGAGUAACCUGCCCUUGACUUUGGGAUAACUUCAGGAAACUGGGGCUAAUACCGGAUAGGAGCUCCUGCUGCAUGGUGGGGGUUGGAAAGUUUCGGCGGUUGGGGAUGGACUCGCGGCUUAUCAGCUUGUUGGCGGGGUAGUGGCUUACCAAGGCUUUGACGGGUAGCCGGCCUGAGAGGGUGACCGGCCACAUUGGGACUGAGAUACGGCCCAGACUCCUACGGGAGGCAGCAGUGGGGAAUAUUGCACAAUGGGCGGAAGCCUGAUACAGCAACGCCGCGUGCGGGAUGACGGCCUUCGGGUUGUAAACCGCUUUCGCCUGUGACGAAGCGUGAGUGACGGUAAUGGGUAAAGAAGCACCGGCUAACUACGUG
rnacentral:rRNA from 1 species